rnacentral:tRNA from 1 species
GGGGCUGUAGCUCAGUGGCAGAGCAGCUGCCUUGUAUGCAGAAAGUCCCAAAUUCAAUCCCUGGCAUCUCUA